GACAGAGGAUGCAAGCGUUAUCCGGAAUGAUUGGGCGUAAAGCGUCUGUAGGUGGCUUUUUAAGUCCGCCGUCAAAUCCCAGGGCUCAACCCUGGACAGGCGGUGGAAACUACCAAGCUGGAGUACGGUAGGGGCAGAGGGAAUUUCCGGGUGGAGCGGUGAAAUGCGUAGAGAUCGGAAAGAACACCAACGGCGAAAGCAACUCUGCUGGGGCCGACACUGACACUGAGAGACGAAAAGCUAGGGGGAGCGAAAUGGGAUUAGAACUCGUAGU
rnacentral:rRNA from 1 species